UGUGACCUUUAGUCAUUACUUACAUAUAUAUGUUGUUGUGAAAUGAAAAAUCAAGUUCAUAAAUACUGUUAGACUUCCUAAUUAAAAUUUUUAUUUUAUUGAGUUCGGGUGACACAUAAAUUAUGCCUCUUUACUCAAUAUAUAAUCGUGAUUUGUCUGAAUUUAAAAUCUUCUUUUAAUCAAAAAACAAUAUAAUUUUAAGUUCUGUCGAUGUAAAAUACAACUUGAUGAUGUGUAAACAGCUCACAGUUCCCUUCUUCUACUCAAGCGGACAUAUUCAACAGCACGUGUUCAAGGUUUAUCAAGAGCUGUGUUCGUCGCGAACGGUGAGUAAUUUUAUGCGAAAUUACACAUAUUUGCAGUCGCUCUGGAUUUUGUUAGUUUACUUUAAAACAACGACGUAACAUACAUAACAUACAUCUUAGCUUGCCCCCGCGUUUGUGUGUUUUAAUAUACACACAGCAGCUAAUUCCACGAUAGCAUAAAUUGUUGGGCUCUUUUUGGAAAAUGUAACACUGACGUUACUCUAAUGCAGACCACUGUAAUUGUCUUAUAAUUAUUAAAAGAUAGCGGACGUUGUUAGCCCCGGCGCAAACUACUAUGCUAACGUAGCUAGCCAAGCUAAGUUGUGUUCACUGUGAUUUUAUUUUUGAAAUGUGAAAUUUAUUUUUUGAAGGGAAGCAUUUUAUGUUAGUAAUUGUUAAGAAACGCUUCUAAAUUUUCGUAACGUUACGGGGUGAAGUUCAACCCCAUUGGCUUCUGCGCAGGAAGUGCGGUCGCCAUUAGUCCGGUGUGUCUGUUGACCGCUAAGAGCGGUUCUUCACCGGCUGCUCGGCCUAUUUUCACAGGUAAAAGACCAGACUUAAGUGCACUGUGCCGCAUAUGGUAGGGUAGUUAGUUUUCCAGCACCCAGUGUAUUCAGGUCUAUGUAGUUUUGAAUGUUUGGUUCUAGCUCACACAGCUUUGACAGGUGAAACUUAUUCACUGUAUUGAAGACUCACAGGUGAAGUUGAAAAUACCAUCUUUUGUAUUUUUGUGCAGGCACGACUUUCUGGUGUUAUACACUGUCCUGGCGUUGCAGAUCUAGGGGUUCCAGUUAAGACGUGGUCAGCCUUCUAAAGAAAGUGGGAAUCUCACCGAAAUAUUCAGUUACUUUGCUGUGUUUCUUGCCAGGACAAAGGCUCAAACCAUCAUCUUUUCCUGGUAUCGAAUACCAAGGGACCUUCUGAAGUAAGCUUUAACAAGAUGAGGAGGAGCUCAACGCAGACCUUGCAAUGCAAAUCAUGAAGAUUGCUAUCAUUGGUGAUGGGCCUGCAACCAUCAUCGUUGAGGGAUCCAAGAUCCUGGAGAGGAUUGAUGUUGCCAGAUCCUGUGCUUUGAUGAUGGGAGUAAUCUACGCUCUGAACCUUACCUAUCCCAAGCAGCUGAAAUUUACCUUUGAGGUAUUUCAAAAGCUAUGCCUUGAGCUUGAUGGACAAAAAGCCAGCUCUAAAGUAAUGAAUCUUAAGUUUGGUAUUUUCUAAGGCAGACUUGAUAGACCAUUCGUGAGUGAGUUUCACAAAAACCUUAUUCCUGCAUUUCUGGCACUACAUCAAUGUGUUUUACUAAAUUUUAAAGUGCUGUUCUUAAGUCUUCUGAGUUAAUGUUUUGCCGUGUCUUAAAUGCUGUUAUUUGCACAUUUUUAAGGAAUGCGUUUAAUUUCUCCCAUGACCUGUGUUCUGAGGGUACUGGUGUGUUUUAAAGUUUGUGUAAUGCCCUCUUUAGCUGGCCUUAAUCUUGAGGGUGAAAAGUCAAAUAUAGAAGAGAAUCAAGAAUACUUUGUAAGAGUGCUGACAAAGUUGAAUGAAAGAAGCUUUGCUCAUUUUAUGUUUAAAUUAGUGCAUUUAAUGUCUGCCUGUCAUCUUUUGUUUUGAUUCACUGUCACAUGUUAAAGUAAAAAAAAAAAAGAGGAUUCAAGUAGUAGCUUGUAUUACAAUUUUAAUACACAGUUCCUUAAGUUUCAGCGGGCAAUUUGUGUUCUAGGAAACGGAAGCCCACAAAUCUUGCACUUCACACGCACGUUAAAGAAUUGUGAUGUUUGUUAUUGUAAUUAAAUGGGUCUAACUCAUUUGAAUACAUCUGUCUGAAUUUCUAUUCUUUCUGAGCACCAGGUACGAGUCCCUUAGCUGAUGUCCAGGUAUUUGGCAUCACAUCUGCCGCAUUCAAACAAAUACACACAACAUCCAUUUCUUUUUCUGAAGGUCAUGACACAAGAGCACACACAGCGCAUGUUAAGGCUGACCUUCGUUUGGGGAAAAAAGUGAUCGACAAGUUUCUAAGGUCUUAGAACCUUGACUUCUUUGUGGGCAGGCACCACCAUGCAUGAGCCUGCCCACGCGGUAGUCAUGGUUAUAAGACACAGCUUUUGAUCAAGGUUGUAUUUUGGAGCGACUUAGCCUGCUGGGAAACAGGUAAAUGCCCUUAUAGAAUCUCCUGUAGGACCAAAAAAUUACUACACUGUAACCAAAAUAUCAUAUUUGACCAACAUAAAUACUAUUUAUGCCGACAGUUAAGUUCAUUUUAAUUAUAAAUGUGUUUUAUUUUGAUCAAAAAGUUACUUCACCAUACAUAAAUAUAAUCUUGGAUCAACUUAAAUUCCUGUGUAUUUGUUGACAAUUAUUAAGUUCAUGUUACUCAGAAUGUGUUUUUUUUUGUGGCCAAAAAGUAACUUCACUAUACAUAAAAUUCACGUUGGAUCAACUUAAAUUUUUGUGUUCUAGUCGAAAAUUAUUAAGUUAAUUUUACUUAAGAAUGUUUUUAAUUGUGGCCAAAAAAGCUACUUCACCAUACUCAAAAAUAUUGCUUUGAAUUAAUGCUAUUCUGCCAGAAGUUGGCUUAACUCAAAAAUUCUAGUGGAAAACGUUAACAUGCUUUUUUUAUUUGAACCAAUGUUUUAUUUAUUAGAGUGC
ensembl:lncRNA